rnacentral:rRNA from 1 species
AACGAACGCUGGCGGCAUGCCUAACACAUGCAAGUCGAACGAGACCUUCGGGUCUAGUGGCGCACGGGUGCGUAACGCGUGGGAACCUGCCCUUAGGUUCGGAAUAACUCCCCGAAAGGGGUGCUAAUACCGGAUAAUGUCUUCGGACCAAAGAUUUAUCGCCUUUGGAUGGGCCCGCGUUGGAUUAGCUAGUUGGUAGGGUAAAAGCCUACCAAGGCGACGAUCCAUAGCUGGUCUGAGAGGAUGAUCAGCCACACUGGGACUGAGACACGGCCCAGACUCCUACGGGAGGCAGCAGUGGGGAAUAUUGGACAAUGGGCGAAAGCUGAUCCAGCAAUGCCGCGUGAGUGAUGAAGGCCUUAGGGUUGUAAAGCUCUUUUACCCGGGAUGAUAAUGACAGUACCGGGAGAAUAAGCUCCGGCUAACUCCGUG